rnacentral:rRNA from 1 species
UACGGAGGAUCCAAGCGUUAUCCGGAUUUAUUGGGUUUAAAGGGUGCGCAGGCGGGAGAUUAAGUCGGCGGUGAAAUUUUGCAGCUCAACUGUAAAAGUGCCUUCGAUACUGGUUUCCUUGAGUGUGGAUGAAGUAGGCGGAAUUUGUGGUGUAGCGGUGAAAUGCUUAGAUAUCACGAGGAACUCCGAUUGCGCAGGCAGCUUACUAAACCACUACUGACGCUCAGGCACGAAGGCGUGGGGAUCAAACAGGAUUAGAUACCCGCGUAGU